UGACUCUUCGACCACCCCUUUGUACUAUAUGCUGAGUUGCCUGAGGAAUGCCAUUGGGGUACCCCAGGCUUGCUGUAACUUCCAUAUGCAAAAAUACAAAAUAAUAAUUAUUUUUUUAAAGUGUUAAAAACAGCCCUGGUCCUUGACAUACAAUAUGACCAAAACAGUCCGGUCCUUAAGGGGUUAACACAUUUUAAUUAAACAUAUUGUUUAUUAAAAUACAUGAAAGCUGCUUUUACAUGCCUAUAUAUUGUAUAUUAUGUCUUUUGAUUAUAUUUCUGGGCUCCUUCUGAAGUGGAAUAUACUUCGCUAUAAAUCAGUAUAUUUGGUGUGGCCAGUGAAGGCUGUCUGUUUAAUACGAAGUGUGAUGUUUUCCUGGAAACACUGCUGUCAUCAAACAGAAACCAUUCUUCAUUUCCAUUCACAGAGCCGAGGGCCAAAGAGUAUUUUUCAGAAUGUGAACACCCUGAAUUAUCAGAUAUGUCCCUCGCAUAAGAAUAAUAGUGACCACUGUCAGAUGAUAACCCAGAAUGGACCACAACAGAAUUUAAAACAUAGGGCACUUGUUGUUGAUUAUGGGACAGGUCUUUUACCUCUUUUGUUCUCAUUCUCCAGUGUCUGAUCUGCUGAUGCAGCCCGAGAUGUUGAUCUUUCUGCAGGCAAAUCCAGUACGAGUGGAAUGGACACAGGAUCUUACGUUUCACAUUGCAGAUUGUAUCACAGACACAUCUCAAUAAAGUUAAAAUUAGAUAUUGUGGCUCUUCCACAAUCUUCGUAGUCUUUUCUGCUGUCUGGAGGGAAGCACAUGUUUCACACUAAUGCUAGUUAUCUCCAUCAAGAAUCUGUGGUGCCAGGAAACUACUUAGCAGGUCUUUUUAAGUGUUUCCUGUGUAUUUUCCUCUCCAGUUUUCUGACAUGAGAUGUUGCUAGGCCCAUGGCUUCUGUUUUCCGCAGAGGAUAAUUCUGCAGCUGUGGUCAUAUUGAUUGUAACAGAAUCGUAAUGUUUUUCCUAGGGAGGGCAUGCUAUUGCCAGUGCAGUUUGACGAAUGAAGAGAAAGCCAGAGGAAGAUCAGUGAAACCUUCUCUCUUGUGUGAGUUGCUUUUGAAGGUUUUACAACAAGUGUUUGUUUUCAGCUUUCCCCCAAACAUGCUUUCUAUCACAGUUUUUUCUUCCUUUCCCAAUCUGUGCUCCGAGGUGUUGAAUACCGUGCUGAUUUUUCC